GACGAACCGUGCGAACGUUGUUCGGAUUCACUGGGCUUAAAGGGCGCGUAGGCGGAUGGUCAAGUCGGGGGUGAAAUCUUUCAGCUUAACUGGAAAAGUGCCUCCGAUACUGAUCGUCUCGAGGGAGGUAGGGGCAUGUGGAACUUCCGGUGGAGCGGUGAAAUGCGUAGAUAUCCGAAGGAACGCCGGUGGCGAAAGCGGCGUGCUGGACCCCUUCUGACGCUGAGGAGCGAAAGCGUGGGGAGCGAACAGG
rnacentral:rRNA from 1 species